GAUCCCGUGGUCCAAUGGCGAAGGCGCCUGCGUGACGUGCAGGAAACUGCUGGUUCGAUUCCAGCCGGGAUCA
rnacentral:tRNA from 1 species